rfam:Acidobacteria bacterium 13_2_20CM_58_27 13_2_20cm_scaffold_9927, whole genome shotgun sequence.
GAGGGAAGGCCCCUCGGGAUCGGCUUUCAGGAGCAGGUCUCAAACCGCCCCAAGCUGCUGUGGUAAAGAGCCAUGGUGGUGAGCGUUGGAGGAAAAGCGCGAGUACAACUCGUGCAGGU